GUCUCUCAGCCCUAAUUUCACAUAAUUAUGAUAAUCAUAAAUACGAACAGACACCAAAGCAGUGAUUGAUGGUAGCCUUCCUCACAGAAAAGGAAACUGAUGUUCGGAGAGAUUGAAACCUGGAGAAACUCCUUCUGGAAAGCAAGGAUGUGACCCCAGUCAACCUGAGCUCAAGGUGCCCACCACACGCCAUGGCUCUAAGUUUGCCUAGAGGCAGUGCAACGUCCAGAAAAGUGAGCUCCAGGUUUCCUUCCCAUGAAAUGGAACUGGCUUUACUUUCUCCGUGUAGGUGGUGUUUGCCCCUUGUGGAUCCAAGGCAAAGAAGCUGUGGCAAAGAAGUCAAACCUAAUUUCCUCUUGGCCCCACUAGAUGACAUUACGGUCAAGGUGCAGAAUUUCUUACGUUAAUAAUCUGAAGUUCCUUUCCUGGGAAAAUAUACACAUUGUCUGAGGUCUUAAAAUAGUUUAGGUAUUGUAAUCGCUCCAUAAUUAUUGGAUGUUAUUUUAAAUGCCUAAAAUUAUACCUGUAAGAUUUAAUAUUGAUAUUCCUACGAAUUACAUUUUGGUAAAUACAUAUCUUUUGAAGGGAGAGAGAUUUGGGAUUUGGGGUAAGUCUGAUCAUCUGUUUUUGUCUUCGUUGAUAUAAAAAUCUUCCAUUUCAAAUCUCUGGAAAAGCAUACACAUGGAGCAAAUGACUCAUUAAUUUAUCCUACAGUCAAAAUUAAAGCAGUACAUAAUUGCCAAAUCUUCAAUUCUUAUAAAACAGAGCUCUGAAUAUAUACUAAUUAUCUUCUGUGGAAAGGAAAUUCACUGAGAUUCAGUUAAGACUGCUUCACACUCAGUAAGUUAAGUCUAUUGUGUUACAUACACCAGCUUACGCAUGCUCCCUCCUUCCCUCCAACCCACUCAGCUCCCCUUUCUUCUCCUUUUCAACUGCUGACCUGAGUUAGUAGCCAAACAUAAUAAUACAGUGUUUGAUCCUCUGUAAACCCAUAAAAUUAUAAACCAGCAACCACCGGGAUGUUGGCAGAAUUUCUGUGGACAGCAACCAGCAUGGUGCUUUUUUCUUUCUGAAAUCAAGCAGUACAUUAUACUUGUUGAUACAACAGCGAGGAAGGUAAUGCCUUCCAUCAUCUCCUGGCCCCUACCUAACUCCUCUAGCCACUUGGGAUGGGGUGAGACAAUUCAUCUAUUUAAAAGAUUAAAGUCUCCAGGUGCCUGGGGGGCUCAGUCGGUUAAGCAUCCGACUCUUGAUCUCAGCUUAGAUCUUCAUCUCGGGGUCAUGAGUUCAAG